rnacentral:rRNA from 1 species
AUUGAACGCUGGCGGCAGGCCUAACACAUGCAAGUCGAGCGGAUGAAGGGAGCUUGCUCCUGGAUUCAGCGGCGGACGGGUGAGUAAUGCCUAGGAAUCUGCCUGGUAGUGGGGGAUAACGUCCGGAAACGGGCGCUAAUACCGCAUACGUCCUGAGGGAGCAAGUGGGGGAUCUUCGGACCUCACGCUAUCAGAUGAGCCUAGGUCGGAUUAGCUAGUUGGUGGGGUAAAGGCCUGCCAAGGCGACGAUCCGUAACUGGUCUGAGAGGAUGAUCAGUCACACUGGAACUGAGACACGGUCCAGACUCCUACGGGAGGCAGCAGUGGGGAAUAUUGGACAAUGGGCGAAAGCCUGAUCCAGCCAUGCCGAGUGUGUGAAGAAGGUCUUCGGAUUGUAAAGCACUUUAAGUUGGGAGGAAGGGCAGUAAGUUAAUACCUUGCUGUUUUGACGUUACCAACAGAAUAAGCACCGGCUAACUUCGUG